rnacentral:rRNA from 1 species
CGGGGUGGAGUAAUGUCUGGGAAACUGCCUGAUGGAGGGGGGUAACUGCUGGAAACGGUAGCUAAUACCGCAUAACGUCGCAAGACCGAAGAGGGGGACCUUCGGGCCUCUUGCCAUCGGAUGUGCCCAGAUGGGAUUAGCUAGUAGGUGGGGUAACGGCUCACCUAGGCGACGAUCCCUAGCUGGUCUGAGAGGAUGACCAGCCACACUGGAACUGAGACACGGUCCAG